UUAUAUAUGCAACAAAAAAUUGGCGUGUGGAUACCAAUUUCUUCCCGCGCCCAUUCUUCUUCUCUCUGACAACGCACGUCUCCUGCUAUACUACCAAAAUCGCAUUCAUCAGAAGCCACCGCAGCAGAGGACCCUAAUUUUUUUCACUCAAAACUAGUGUGUUCCUCUCUCUAGCAAUGCACGUCUCUUGCAAGAUACAUUGAGUUUGGUUGUGUCGUCAUAUCUUCAGCCAUUGGUCUUCUGAUGCUUGAAGCUGUCCAAUCCUAGAAAAAUGCCACCAAUCGAAAGGCCUAGCAGAGGAGGACUUCUCUUCCCAUUGUCUUUGCAUCGUACCUUGUCGUAGAUACCCCCUGUCAUCAUUAAUCUUCAGUUCAAAGGCCAAACUGAAACGCUAUUGCCAUUGUUUGAAAGAAAUCAUCCGAGUUGAUCGAAUCCCAACGUCAUCCUGUAGCAUCAAUUCAACAUUCUAAGGCUCUAAGAGUGGUCCCUAAAUGGACCAGCUUCAUAAGAGACUGAUCUCUCAUGGGGCUAAGUACUGAGUAGAGAGCUCUCACCUACAAUCAACAGGUUGGAAUUGUUUUUGGCCUAAUGAUAUUGCCAGGUUUCAGAAGAGGAUUAAAAGUUAAGAGAGUGGUUUGAUAGGUUGGCAAAACUUUUUGCAUUUUUCUGAUUUUCUUGCAAUUUCUGCAAAAUUUCAGAUAUUACCAUGAGAAAAGUCAUGCUAGACAUCCUAUGAGCACUAGGGGUAGUAAUCAAUCCCAACCAAGCUCUAGCCAUUGGAUUGAGUCUCAAUCAGUUGGCUCUCGAGAUUCUUGAAGUGACAAUGGUGUAGGAGACAAUAAUACCUCACGUAAAAGAACUCGAGGACCUACAAGGUGUUUGGACGUGUGGACAUUGUCUGAAGGAAAACAAAUUCCUAUUGAAUCAAACAAAUAUACACAAGUUAUUGGAGAUACAAGUAAAAAAUUGGUUACCUUUAAGGGCACGGUGGCAAGAAAUGGAAGUUUAGCACCGAUAACAUAUAAUGAUUGGAGAUCUAUGCCUAAGGAUAAAAAGGAAGAAAUGUGGAAAAUUAUCAAAGAGAAAUUUGAUGUUGAUGACAGUGGUAAAUCUUGAGCAGUAAAAUCUAUUGGAAAAAAGUGGAAGGAUUGGAAACAUCUUAAAGAAAAGAUAUUUUGAAGUAAAUGAAAUCACUAGAGUUGAUGGGCGUGUCUUUAAGGACCAAUUGGAGCUGCUCAUUCGGUUUUGGCAAUCUGAUGAAGGCACGUAGUGUGAAAAACAAGGAGAGCCGUGCAAAACAAUUUAUGAGACACACUACAGGCACAAAGAGCUUCGCUAGAAUAAGAGAGGAGGCGCAUUUAAAUGAACAAAUAUCUCAAGAAACUGAAGUUUCUGAAGAAGAAAUUUUUUCUCGCAUCAUGGGAAAAGAAAAAUAUGGUCGUGUUCGAACAUAUGGGUUGGGACCAUCACCUACUGAUAUAUGGGGUACAACACCUGGACGUGCAGAGGCAUUGAAGAUAGCUUCAGAAGCCCAAAUGGAAUUGCUAGCUACAAGAUAAUCAUCUGAUGAGAGAUUCAAUAAGAUGCAGGAGGAGAUGCUUCGGUUACAAUCCACUCUGGCUCAAUUACAAGAGACAUUGGCUACAUUGACAUCCAAUUGCCCAAGUCCGUCGGCCAAUCAAGUAGGUGCUCCUGUUUUUUCUAUCGGUGUGAAUAGGCAAUCAUCAACAUCAAGUCACAUAGCACCAUCUCCCAAGGUAAAUAUGAUCUAAUUUUAAAAGUCAAUUUGGUAACAUCCUUCUUACAAAAUUUUAAUGGAAGGUUGUCUCAGCUCCACCCAUUUUAGGCAGCACACAUAAAAAUAAUGCGCAAGCAAGAAAUUUGGAGGUAUCAAUGCCAAAGAGGAGAAAAAACUAUGAAUAACUCCUACCAUAGGGUUCUUUUGAAGAGUGCUUCAAAGCCAGAAAUCACAGUGGCUCAAGGAACAUUACUUAAUAAGAAUUCAUCUACAAAAGUCAGAGGCUUUGAAUUAGGUGCUGCUUUUUGGGAAGUACAUGUGGAGGUCCCUUUCGUGUUUGAGGAGCCUUUAAUGAGGCCUUAUGGAUGUUAUUGAACAAUUGGGGAUGCUGUUGGUUCAAGUGUUGCUUGGCUAACUUCAUUGGUUGUAGACAUGUGACCUUUGGACAAAUAUGCACUAGGAAAAGUUUUUGGUUCAACGACAAAGUACUAUGUACUUUUUCUCUAGAUGAUUGUAGCAAAUAUGCAUGGCUUUCCUUUCACAACUAAAUAUGAAGUUCUCCCUACCUUGGUGUGCCGUUAUGGUUGAAGAAUAAAAUGCCCUCAUACACAACGGUACUUGGCAACUUGCACCUCCUCACCCAUUCUCAAAAUGUAAUUGGGUGUAAGUGGGUUUAUAAGGUGAAAUGAAAUGCUGAUUGGAUCUGUGGAUCGUUUUUAAAGUCCGCUUGUGGCAAAGGGCUUUUCAUUAACACAGGAUUAUUGGAUUAUAAAGAGACCUUUAAUCCUGUUGUGAAGCCAAUUACAAUCCGGCUUGUUCUUGUCAUUGCCAAGUCCCAUGUUGGCCCACUUGCCAACUAGAUGUUUCCAAUGCAUUCUUGCAUGGUACUCAAUACAAUAAAUAUGUGUCAACUAUACGACUUUGUGUAUCCCCAAACAACCAGAUUAUGUAUGCUUGCUGUGUAAAUCACUUUGGGUUGAAACAAGUCCUACAGGCUUGGUUUCAGCGUAUUUCUAAUAUGUUCCUGAUGUUGGGCUUUUAUGGAUCCAAAACAAAUCCUUCAUUAAUUGUUCAUCUAUGCCAACAAUGUCUCUUCCUAUAUCACUGAUGGCAUUUUUGUAAUGGGCAACACUUUGGAUUCCAUGACUGAUCUCAUUGACUUAGGCUGCGUUUGGAAAUAAUGCAAAUGGAGUG